GCUCUCAUAGUGUAGUGGUUAUCACGUCUGCUUUACACACCAGAAGGUCCCAGGUUCGAGCCCUGGUGGGAAUA
rnacentral:tRNA from 1 species